ensembl:lncRNA
UCUUUAAAAACAUAAUAAAUCUUACUGUUCACAAACUGAAAUGUGUGUGUGUGUUUGUGUGUGUGUAUAUAUAUAUAUAUAUAUGCAUAUAUAUGCAACAUUUAUGUCCCCCUCACUUCUGAAAUGAUGGCUACGCCCCUGAUGACAAGACACUAUGAACAGCCAAGGAAACCAGAACCAAGCACAUAUGCAAACUCUACCACUAUGGAAGGACAAGACCUGACCAGGAACAAGAGAAACACAGAGCAUUAAUAAAUAAUAAUACGGCUAACAAAAAACAGUUGAGAACAAUCAGGCAGGGGGGAAAAGGAAACAGAAACACAAAGCUCAAAAUGGAAAUAACAAAGAAUCACAAAACAAAGGCAAAAUUUGUGACAGAAUAUUACCAUUAUGUGCUGAUACUGAGAAAAAGGCACUCUUGUGUGAUAUUGCUAAUUAAUCCUUCACCAAUUGCCUUACCUUGACCAGUUACACAACUUUUUUUUUGCUUUGUUUCUUUGAAUUUGUUUUUGAGUUGUGAAUUUAAAUCAAAUAAAACCGUAAUAUUUACAAUAACUCCAAAAUGUUUUGCUAAAGAAGUCAACAGCUCUGUUUAAUGACACACAAUAUCAUUCUUUUUUUUAUUUUUUGUGUUUCAGUAUGACAGCUGAAAUAAAACUGUUCCAAUUAUCUGAUGUUGGGGAUUUGCAGUCUGUGGAGGCAGUUGUUGGGCCUUUAAAUGAGGGAAUUGUUUCUAUCUCUAACAUCUGCAUAUCUCUCUUGGAUGCGCAAGUUGAUGCCACCACUGACACAUGCUCCAAUUACAAACAAAUCAGGGGACAUAUUGAGCAUGCUGAGCGAUACCUGAAAAAAUCAGAGACAACCAUUAAAGAAAAACUGGGAUAUUUUGAUAAUCGGAUGGAGCGACUUACUAAAGAAAAGGGAAAUGUUGAGCAGCAGAAGAAGGAAAAAUGUAUGGCCAAAGAUAAAUUACACAUUGAGAAGAAAUCAGCUGAAGAAUCAUUAAAGUCUUCUGAAGCAGCAUUAAAGCAGGCCCAAAAAAACGUCGAAUUAACAAAACAUACAUUAAAAAUAGAGAAAGACAGGAAGGAGACAGGUGGAUGGGUAACAGCCGCAGGAGUGGGUGUUACCCUGAUACCAGUUGCUGGAUGGAUUGCAGGUCCAGUAAUUGUCUAUAAUGGAGUAAGUACAAUAGUGGAUGCUUCAGAGGCUAUCAGGGAUGCUGAAGAUGAGCUAAAAAAUAAUGAGUGUCAGGUGAAUGAGAACAGCAUGAAAGUGUCUAAUUACCAAUCCAGGAUCUCUAAGAUACAGAAUGAGAUUGAAGAGACUGGUAAGGUGCUGAAUAAAAUUCAGAGGGAGAUUGAAGAGGUGAAGCAGCAUCUAGAGGGCACAGCUGCGUUUCAAGAAGUGGUCAGGAGAGCUGUAAAUCUACUGAGUGUUCUUAGUGGAGAGGAGUGCUUGCUUUAUGCAACUCCCCCAGUAAUUCUGAAUAUGAUUGCUAUUACUGAACUUACUAAAGAAACAAAUGUUUCGUUGUUCACAGUUUUAAUGUGUAUUUUAUUAAAAAAAAAAAAAAUUCUACAAUAAAUAAAAAGUUAAUAUGGGGAAAUGUGGUAUUAUUUGUAGUUUGGUCAUUUGUAGUUUGUCCAUUAAAUGCUGCACAUUACACAAGUAGGUGACAAAUUGUUUUUAAAUGUUCUUUUGUAUGGUUCAGCAACCAUAAUUAAGUUGAUGAUCUUUUUGUUUUUAAGAGCGUGUAAUUUUUGUCAACCUAAAUGUGCACAAGUGGCUCAUUUGAACAAGAACAUGACAAGGAGGGCUAGAAAAAGUGUAGAUUAUAAAAAAGCUGUGUGCAAGAUCAUGCAUGAGUACAAAAAAAUGAAUGGCUGAUUUAACAUCAUAUUUAACCAUUUAAUCAUCAUGCCAUUAUUAUAUUCAAAAUAAUAUUAUUAGAAAAAAAUCGUGAUUAUUUCAAGUAAAUGUUAUUUCCAUGACAGGCAGAAUAACUUUUUACCAAGUCAUUCACGAGGAGUAAUAAAGUGACCAGCAGAUGGUGACA